GAAUGACUUGUAAUGAUGACGAUGAUUAUGAAGCUAAAGAGGGCAAUGGGGUCAAGAGAGUUCUGCUCACCUCUUGUCAGCGAGUUCAGCUGUGUUCGCUGCUGCUCUCAGCCAGAGAGCUGCUAUCUCUCGGAGCAUUCUGCCCCAAGCUCUUUUGGCAGGAGUACACAAAGCAUCAGACACAGUACAAGCUAGAGGUUGCACACCACCUUUACGCUCGGGACAUCCUGAGCAUCAAAUACAUUUUAGAGAGCGAUGCAGAAGCAAGGGUGUGGAUGGUGGCUGGGUUAAAGUCCCUCUGUAGUAGGACAUCUCCGCAGGCGCAGCAGGAAGAGGUGCAGGUGGACGAGGAGAGAGACAUUCAGCAGGCAGUUCUUUCCU
ensembl:lncRNA